rnacentral:lncRNA from 1 species
AUGUUAAAAUUUUGUAGUGGUUGGAUGAACAUAAGGCAAAAUAAAGAUGGUGCAAUGAUAAUUUCCCUAUUUAUAAUUGGUAUUUUCUUUAGUUAGAUUAAUUUAUAUUAAUUAUUUCUAUUAUUAUUUUAUUUUAAGUCUUGCUUUAGAGUUGAUAAUAAAUAUAACUAGCAUAGUCUCUGUGGAAUUGAUCAUUACUCGUUCUUUACUAAUUAUUUAUACUAGUAGUAAGGUUUUAAAUUUGGUGCACCCUAACGACACUACUAAUGAUACUUAUACUUAAUUAUGCUAUGGUCGGCUAUGCCACCUGUAUUAAAGAAUAUGUUCUUAAAUAGUGUUGUGUAUUGAUUCUGUUAUGCAUCUAGGAACUUUAAAUGUUAUGGCAUAAGUUGCAUUGAAUGCAUGCAUAUCAUGGAUUACAUUAUAAAGAAGACGUUUCAGAAAAAGAAUUUAUGAAAAAUAGGUUGUUGUACUACUUGGUGGCAAAGUUUCCAAGGAGGGCAAGCCCUCAAAGCUAAGUGAAAAAUAAAUCUUUUGGGACGGCGAUACGUAACGCCCAAAGGAUAAACUAAUGAAGCCCAAGGGCAUAUUGUUUAAAGAGUAAAAGUGCCAACCUUGUAGUGCAACAUACCUAGGGCCCUAAUGAAGUUGUUUUGUAUUUUCUAAGUUUCUUUUAAAGCUUAAGAUGGUCAUCCAUAUGCAUCAUAAUUUAUACAUGCAUAAAAAUGUUAUCUUACUAGGCAUUAGGUCAUAAAGUCCUUACAUUGCAGGUAACGAUGAGUAGGGCAAGCUGGCACCAAGUCCUAACCAAGACGAAGUGUAUAUGGACAUAAUAGACCUUGGGAUUUUAAGAUGGGCUCAGCUUUGUUUAAGUAAAAAAAUAAGCAUCUUAGCUAUAGGUAAUAAUCAAGUUUUGAAAUAAACUAUGGAAUCUCUGUAUGACUUUUACUUUAUGAAGACAAUUUUGUUUGUUGUGUUAAAAUUUUAGAAAUCGUAUUAAAAGUAACUAUGUUUUAAACAUUUUUUAAUAUAGAUAUUUAAGUGGAGUGUUACACAAACAUUUAAAAAAAAAGAAAAAAAAAAUGGAGCAACUGGUUGCUCCUUAAACUAUUACAAUUUUUUGAAAUAAUAUAAUAAAUGAAUAUAAUAAUUAUUUUAAUAAUAAAGGCCAGAUAACAAUAAAAAAUUUGUUUUAUAAUAAUAAUGAAUUAGUUUCAAGUUUAAUGGUACCAAUAUCAAGUUAACGGUAGGUAUUCAUGUUUAUUGGUCCAUUAAUUGCAUGAUUUUCAGGGUUACAAGUUAAUGAUCCCAAGUUUCAUGUUCAUUGCCCUCAGUUUAAGUUCCUUUGGUUUCAAGUUUAAUGGUCUCAGUAUCAAGUUAACGGUUGGUGUUUCAUGUUUAUUGGUCCAUUAAUUGCAUGAUUUUUAAGGGUUGCAAAUGAUCCCAAGUUUCAUGUUCAUUGCCCUCAGUUUCAAAUUCCUUUGGUUUCAAUUUUAAUGGUCCCAAUAUCACGUUAACGGUAAGUGUUUCAUGCUUAUUGGUCAAUUAAUUGCAUGAUUUUCAGGGUUGCAAGUUAAUGAUCCCAAAUUUCAUGCUCAUUGCCCUAAGUCUCAAGUUACUAUGGUUUCAAGUUAAUGAUCCUAUGUUUCAUAGUCAUUGCCCUAAGUUUCAAGUUACUCUGGUUUCAAGUUUAAUGGGUCCAAUUUUAAUAUUAAUGGUAGGUGUUUCAUAUUUAUUGGUCCAUCAUUUGAAAGAUUUUCAGAGUUGCAAGUUAAUGAUCUUUGGUUUCACGUUAAUGAUCCUAUGUUUUGUGUUCAUUGCCCUAAGUUUUAAGUUACUCUAAUUUCAAGUUUAUGAAAGUUUUGGGAAUAAAAUGUAAAUAUUUGAACCGUAGUGGCUAGUCGACCAAAACGUGGCGGCUAACCACCUGGGAAGACAGAAAAUUAGUGGUUAGCUACCUGAGUGUAGCGGCUAACUGCCUGGGAACUUAACUUGCCACAUAAGUCUAGUGGCUAAAAUGGCGAUUGACUAUUUUAUCAAGGUUAAUAACGGCUACUUUACUUGUCCAAUCUAUAUAAGCUCAAAUCCCAAAUCAAAUCUAUCAAGUUUUUCAAGCUAAAAUCUGUCAACAUCUCUUGCGCUUCCAUUUUGCAAAUCUUCAUACAUUGAGUUAUCAUUGAGCUAUCAUUUGUACAUCCACUCUAAAAUAGAGUUCUUGUUGUAAUCUUCAAAUACAUUAUCAAAUUUGUGUGAGUGUAAGUGUAGGAAACACUUAGGGAAAGUGUGUGUGAGUGUGUUGGUGAGGGUUGGGGGAAAAAGCACUUUUUGAUAGUGAAUCCUCAAGUCUUGCUUCGCGGACGUAGGGUUUGCAACCACUUAAAAGUUUGCGUGUUUGUUAUCUUAAUUUGUUUAUUUCAACUUAUUGUUAUUUGUUUCAUUAAGACAUUAUUUUAAAAUUAUUGUGUUUUAUUUGCUUAAUUCACCCCUCUUAGGUUGCAUAGAUAGAAUUUUAUUUGGUAUCAGAGCAAGGUUCUCUUGUUAGGACUUAAUCGUCUAGAGUAAAGAUCCAUGAAACCCAAAUGAUUUCACAUUUAGGGAAGGACAGUCCACCACUAGACACCAUAUUUUAAUGGAAACGAUUACCGUUAUGGAAAACUAGGACGAGAAUUUACUUGCAAGCUUAUGAGAUUUGCGAAAUCGUUAAUGAUGGUCUUUUGCCAACUACUAGUCAAUGAAGAACUAGAAAAGAAAAAGAUGUUUUUAAAUUCCAAAAAAUGAAUGUCCUAUUUUGUGCCUUAGAAAAAAAAUUUCUUAGAGUUUCCGGUUGUAAACUUGAAGUUGUCUAAGAGGGAAAACAAGUGAAAGAGUCCCAAAAUGGUUGAUAAACUAGACAAUGUAAGUUGUUCCAAAAGGACAAAAUGAGAGUGUCCAUUCCAUGCAUACUAGAUUUACGAACAUUGUAAACACCCUAGGAGCCCUAGGUAAGACCUUUUCAAAUAGCUAGAAGAUAAGGUGAAUACUGAAGGAAUAGAGACCUAAGAGAACUGCUAUUGAGGAAGCCAAAGAUUUUAAAAACUUCGUCUAUUGAUGAUUUAAUUGGCUCACUUAUUUAUUAUGAAGAGGAUUUGGCAGCCGAAAGGAGAUAAAGAUAAAAAGAAGAAAAGCAUUGCCUUAAGAGCAUCAAAACCUAAAAGUGAUGAGGAAAGCGAUUUCGAGGAUGAAAACAUGGCUAUGAUGGCCAGAAAAUUCAGAAAGUUUUUCAAGAAAUCUAGUGAGCGAAGAAAAUUUAGAAACCUCAAGAACCAAAAGGAGAAGAAGGAAGCAAUCAUAUGCUAUGGUGCCCACUUCUCAACAAACUCAAGAAGAAAGCCAUGGUGGCUACUUAGGAUGAUAGCGAUGAAGAAUCGAGUGAUGAAGAAGAUUCACAAGAAGUGUCAAACCUAGCACUUAUGGCAAUCGAAGAUGAAUCAUUUGAUGAGUCUAAUAAGGUAAAUGAUCUUCCUACCUAUAAUGAAUUAUAUGAAGCAUUUAAGGAAUUAUUUAAUGAUAUGAUGAAAAUUGGUAAGAAAAAUGCAUGUCUUAAAAACAAAAUGCUAGAACUUUCAAAUGAAAAUGAUGACUUGCAAAAAUGUAAUGAUUUGCUAAAUUAAAAUUUCAAAGGACUAGAAUUAGAUAAUAAAAAUAUUACAUGAUAGGAUUGCAUCUUUAAAAGGUAAACAAUGUACCUCAUAUGAGUAUGAAAAAUCAAAUGCUGAUCAAAGAAAAUGAAGAGCUUAAAAAAGAGCAAUGAGCUCAAUGAGAUUGUGAUAAAUUCACAAAUGGUUGAAAGAACUUAGAAAAAUUGCUUAGCUCUAAAAAAUGUGUGUUUGAUAAAUGAGGACUUGGGUAUAAGCCUAACUUGAUACAAAAAUAUUACAAAAAUUGCGACAAGAAAAAACUAAUAUGAAGAAAAAUGAGGUGUAACACUCCACUAAAAUAUUUAUUUUAAAAAAAUGUUUAAAACAUAAUUACUUUUAAUAUAAAUACGGAUUCUAAAAGUUUAACACACUAAACAAAACUUUCUUACAUAAAGUAAAAGUCAUACAGAGGUUCCAUAGUUUUUUCAAAACUUGAUUAUUACAUAAAGCUAAGAUAUUUAUUUUUUAUUAAAAUAAAACUGAGCCCAUCAUAAAAUCCCAGGUCUGUUAUGCCCAUCACUUCGUCUUAGUUAGGACUUGGCGCCAGCUUGACCUACUCAUCGUUGCCUGCAAUGUAAGGACUUUGUGAGCUAAUGCCCAAUAAGAUAACACUUGGAUGCAUGUAAAAAUUAUUACGCAAACUUAGAAAAUACAAAACAACUUCGUUAGGGCCCUAGGUAUGUUGCACUACAAGGUUGGCACUUUUACUUUUUAAACAAUAUGCCCUUGGGCCUCAUUAGUUGAUCUUUUGAGCGUUACAUAUCACCGUCCCCAAAAGAUUUCUUUUACUUAGCUUUGAGGGCUUGCCCUCCUUGGAAACAUCUUCUUCAUAAUGUAAUCCAUGAUAUGCAUGUAUCCAAUGCAACUUAUGUCAUAACAUUUGAAGUUCCUAGAUGCAUAACAGAAUCAACACACAACACUAUUUAAGAACAAGAUUCUUUAAUACAAGCAGCAUAACCGACCAUAGCAUAAUUAAGUAUAAGUAUCACAGAUUAGGCGGCAGAGCCAACCAUAACAUAACUAAGUAUCAUAGAUUAGGCGGCAGAGCAGACCAUAACAUAAUUAAGUAUCAUAGCUUUUCAUGAGAACCAUCAAGGGAAUUCCAUUAAAGCUUCAAGUGAUCCUUUGCACAUUCAUGGAGGCCCAAUUACAAGAGCUAGAGCCAAAAAAAUGCAAGCUACUUUAAAUAGAUUAAUUGAGACAAUGUGGACUGAAAAUGCAAUUCACGAUGCAAGACAUCAUGAAUUAGGCUUGGAGAGAAGACAAGGCAUUAUUGGCAUUAUUCAAGCUAUUGGGCAGCCAAAUACACAAUUUGGAUUCAAUGUAGAAACGGAAAUUCAGAAUAAAACAAGCUAUAUACCGUUGGAAAGAUAAUUAAAUUAACUUUCCAGUGCAUUUUAUGGAGUUGGAUUUGGAGUUCUCUAGAAGGAGUUAUGACUAAUUAUUAUAGCUUGUUCAGGCUUUGGAAUUCCAAUGACUCCUUUGUUUAUUCAACUUCAUUUAUUUGUUUUGUUUCAAGUUUGUCAAUGUGUUAGGUAAGUCUACCAUCAAUGAUGGUGGGUUAGCAUUAAGUUGGUCAAUGAUAGCAUUAAUUAUGGUAGGUUGGCAUUAAGUUUGUCAAUGACUAGCAUUAAUAAUGGUGGUGGGUUGGUGAAGACUUUUGAAGCACCCUUUGACAAACCUAUUCUUAGAGGGUUGUUCCAAUGUUUCCAUUUGUAUUUUUAGGAUCUUGUGUUUCUUUUAGCCUAUUUAAACUCAACAACCUUGCUAUAUAAGAUAAUUAGAGAUUAAUGUUAUUUGAAUUUGAAAGAAUUAUUAUUACUUUAUUUCUUUUGAGAACUAGUGAACUUAUCAAGAAUUUGCAUUUUGUGGCGUUCCAAAACUAGACUUAUCACUCACCUUCUCAUCUACAUCUUGAGUGUGGCGUCAAUAUCAUUCUCCAUACCUCUAGUUCAUGUUUUCUUAAGCAUUGGGUCAAGGUUUUGUUUGUCAUAAAUCUGUUUAGAACUUUCUUGAGAAGUUGAAACUACAAAUUAAGUGUGGGUUUCAAAGUUUCAUUUUGGAAUUCACAUCAUUUAGUAUCAGAGCUAGUUUCUAAUCAGGUUUAAACUUAUUUUGAUUACUGGGGGGGGGGAGGUACGUGGCGUUGUUACACCUGAACUAUGAUAGUGCUAGACUAUCCUUUGGACCAGUAGUCCGCAAGUUCUGGUUUCCAACUGAUAUACCUAUAAUCCCUGAGAUAUAAAACCCGAAAAAGAAAAAACCAUUGAUCACGAUACCACCCGAAAAUAGGUCACCUCUGACCUUCAAAGAGGGUGAACGUUGUGAGAAAACAGUUUUAUUUGAAAUCUUUUAUAAAUAAAUCAGGACUUUUCUGAUACACAGGAUCCUUUAAGAAAGGCAAGUGUAGAGCAUACUCAGUGUAGAAAAUAGAGAUGAACGCUCUUAGUUUAAUAACUCAAGUAUUUUCUUCGUUACCUAGAAGAAGGAGAGAAACUUAGUGAGCCAUAGGUUUUAUGAAAACUUAGAAAUAUUAUUGAUGGCAUUCUGAAUUUUACAAGGACAGAAGAGCUCUUAAAUAGAGCUGGAGAGACCCGAUCAGAGAGACCAGAUAAGACAGGACCCUUAUCUUUCUUUAAAGUAAACGAUAGAAGAAAAUAAUAAUGCACUCAUAAAAACAUGAAAAGCUGAAACACACUUUAGACAGGACAGGACCCCUAUGGAAAAGCCAAGAUUCCCGGAUGACUCUGUAACCAUGUGAGACUAUUAUGGAGUUGAGGGAAAUCUGGAUGGAGACACGUCACCAGUUUCAUUUUCAUAGUCUUCUUUUGCUUUUUGAAGUUCUUGGUGGAUCAGGUAGUCUUCAUCUAACUCUGAGAUUUCUUUUCUUGGAGUGGACGAAGAACCCGGUUCAGUGACCGUGGACUGAUUGGAAGUCUUCCCAAGGGUCUUGGGUGUCUUGAAGGAGAACAUUGGUGUAGUUAGGUCGUUGUUCAUGAACAAGAAUUCCAUGAGGACUGGAACUGGAUCCUGGAGUACAUAUCUGGGUUCUUGGUAUAACUUCAAGAGUGGGAGGGACCAAUGGAGGUAUGGUGAAUGUUUGCUGGGACAGGUUGGAUAUUGUUGAGUUCUAACAAAUAGGCUCUGAGAGUGGAGAUGAUUGUUGGAUCAUGAUUAAGAGGGAAAGGAUGAGGGAAUGUUUUCCAUUCAUAUGCCAUGUCAUGUGUGCAGUAGUCUUUUGUUUCAGGAUAAACAUAUCUGCUUCUUGAUCAGGAAUCCAGUUGAGUGGUGAAAACCAUUCAAGGAGCGUCCAGAGAAGUGUAGGUGCAUGAUCUGGGGUGGAGAUAUGCCUGAGGGUUGGGAGGACAGGAAAAACAAGCUUUGUAGCAAAUAGGAAUGUGAGACACCACAUGUACCAUAAUUCAUGGAAGGAUGAGGGAAUGUUUUCCAUUCAUACGCCAUGUCCUGUGUGCAGUAGUCUUUUGUUUCAGGAUGUUGGAAAUAUGGUCUGUGAACUAUGAAUACCGAAGUAAACAUAUCUGCUUCUUGAUCAGGAAUCCUAUCUAACUGAUAGAAGUUAGAUAAAUUCUGCAAUUGCUUACGCCACCAGGUGAGUGGUGAAAACCAUUCAAGGAGCGUCCAGAGAAGUGUAGGUGCAUGAUCUAGGGUGGAGAUAUGCCUGAGGGUUGGGAGGACAGGAAAAACAAGCUUUGUAGCAAACAUGACUGUGAGACACCACAUGUACCAUAAUUCAUCUUCAGAAAUGGUGAGGUUUGGAAUAAUGGUGAAGCCAAUGAGAAACAGGUGUUCUAAACAUAGAGAGGGAAACCUUUCUGGGUUGGUUCUGUUAACAUUCAUGAAUACCUAUAAAGGAAUUUCUUUGCAAAGGUUUUGGAUUUGGAAAGCUGAUCGGAAAGUGAGAUUUAGAGGAAAAGCCUUUUGGGUUAAAGCUUUGAAUGGAAGUGAACGAUUCAUGGCUAUAAUUGGGAUGGUUGUGAUGGAAGAGAUGAGAACAGGGCUUUUUAUAGAUGGACGGGUGAGGAAAUCAGGGAUAAGGUUUUUAUUACCUUUGAUGUGUUGGACUGUGAAAUCACACUUUGCAAACCAUGUCUUUAAAUUGAGUAAUUGCUUGUCAGGAAGCAAUUUGUUCUUGAAGUCAAAGAUCUUUGGAAAAGAACCCCAAUUGUGAUGCCUCUAAUUAGUACAUACUUAGAAAUGUUCCAGGAGUUCAUAGGAUUUGGAAUCACCAAAUUUCGUUUGGAAAUGAGAGAGAUAAUGAAGAAACAUGAAUGCUAGUUCAUGAUGAUUCAUUCCACCAAAUAAAGCCACCAUUAUCUUUUCAAUAAUGGCACCAAACAUUAUCAUGAGCUAGACCCACCCACUAAGCCAUUCUUUAUUGGAUGUGAUCUUAUCACUUCAAUAAUUUAUUUAAUCAAAUUAAUUUUGAAUAAAUAAAUAGCCUAAUUAAUUAAUUUUAUCUUUAAUUAAUUAAGCCCAUUUUGAUCAAAUCAAAUGGUUAAAUGUGGCCUUCUUUUGUGACAUGUUCUUAUGCUUUUUCCUAAUCCAUAUUAGGUCCAAUAAAAGCCCUAAAUUCUAGACCCAAAAUUGGUCUAGAAGUCCAUAAUCAUUUGUGAACCGAAACAUGUCCAAUAUGGUCAUUUUACGUGUUGAUGUUAUACUUAAUGUUUGAUUGAGGAUUUAUGAAAUUUAUUUUGUUCCUUAAACUAUUUAUGGAACAUCAAAAUUUCUAUCUUAAAUCAUAUUUAAGAUAUAUAUAUUCAUUCUUAAUGAAUUAUAAUAUAAAUACUGAUUUUCCUAAAAUUAGGAUAUUUAACUUCUCAUUUUCUAGUAACUCCUUUUUCAUUUCUAUUAGAUCUGUGACCUUUUAGGUUCUUUGUUAUAAGGUAGUAGAACUAUUUUAGUGAUAAUUAGAACUUUUCUAAUGACCUUAAGAUGUGUUGCUAAUACGCUUUACCAAUAAUGAUCUUAAGGUUUCUACAAGUCAUAAGUGACACCUAGCAGUAUUUCACAACCACCCAUGUUUCCCUAUGUCCUGGUCUCUUCAUCAUCCAUGUCCAAAGAAAAGCAUGGCUUAUGGUUUAGUGUGUCAAGCAUUUAUGCUUUAUCUCAAAAAGAAAUCUAAAUGAACGUGGCAUGAAAAAUAUAAUUUGAACUCCUUCAAAUAUAUUUCACCUUGGCCAAGGAUUUCUCAUGCCGAUUCAUAUUAUCUUACAGGGACAUCCUUUUUGUUUAUUACAAAGUGAUGAAUUCCAUAUUGGCAAUACACUUGUCUUCAUACAUAACCAACCAUGACAGCUAUUGCUCGAUAUCUUCCUUGAUUAGGAAUCAAUCCUUAUGCUUUCACAUAUCAAAGAUGUCUAUGUACAUGACAUAUGUGAUGCCUCAGGUCUAAAGACCAUUACUAAACAUAGUGUCUACCACAAUGUAUAAUAAGCCAUUAACACUCAAAACCAUAUGGCUUAUUAUUAUUUGGUCAAGUUCAGUAAACUUGUUUUCACAACAAGUACCUAUGUGUUUGUUUGACUUGACAUCUCAUGUCAAUGUUAUGAAACUCACCAUCCAUUUCAUAACACAUACUAGUGUUUAUAGGAAAUUUUGACGUCCAAUCAUAAAUCCACCACUAGGAACUAUUUUAGAAGUAUAGUACAAAGGAUACACGUUCAUAUUCUCGACAAACUCGAGAAUGUGUUCCUUUACUAUUUUACUUCUCUGACUAUAUUCAUUAAAUUAAUUUAUGAAUGUUGAUAAUUUUACCAUUUUUAUAAAUAUCAAAAUGCUAAUCAAAUACAAUAAUUCCCUAAAAGCAAACACCAUUCGAUUGGCCUUUAGGGCAUAUCACUAACAAAGUAAAGAUCUGAUCAUACCUCAAUACAUUUUGAUGUCAACCUCUUUACAUUUUUCAUCCUUAUCAAGCUUAAUUGUUGAGCUCAUUGGAGUACUAUUAGCCUUUCCAUCUUCAAGUCCGAAUCUUUUGAGUAAAUCUUUGACAUGUUUGGCUUGAUUGAUGAAGAUUCCCUCAUUGUUUUGUUUGAUUUGAAGUCCGAGAAAACACUUCAAUUAUCCCAUCAUGCUCAUUUCAAAUUCUUUACUCAUGCAAGAUGAAAAUUCCUCACACAAAGAUUGAUUAGUUGAACCAAAGAUAAUAUCAUCAACAUAAAUUUGAACUAUAAGUAUAUCUUGGUUCUUAUGCUUGAUAAAAAGAGUAGUGUCUGCUUUUCCCAUUGAAAAACCAUUAUCCAAUAAGAAAUUUCUAAGCCUAUCAUACCAUGCUCUAGGUGCUUGCUUUAAACCAUAUAAUGCUUUAGAUAACUUAUAAACAUGAUUCGGAAAUUUUUCAUUUUCAAAAUCAGGGGUUAUUUCACAUAAACUUCUUUGUAAUAUAACCAUAUAAGAAAGCACUUUUGACAUCCAUUUGAUACAAAAUGAAAUGUUUAUGAGAUGCAAAUACUAAUAGCAUCCUAAUGGAUUCCAAUCUAGCUACAAGUGCAAUUGUUUCAUCAAAAUCAAUUGUUUCUUCUUGGUUGUAUCCUUGAGCCACUAAUCUACCUUUAUUCCUUACAACCAUACUGUAUUCAUCCAUUUUAUUUCUAAAUACCCACUUAGUACCUAUAACAGAUUGAUGUGUUGGUUUAGCGACUAGUUCCACACAUUAUUUCUCUCAAAUUGAUUUAACUCCUUCAGAUUGCCAUCAAUAAUAUUUCUAAGUUUUUCUUAAACUUCUAUGGCUUCCUAAGUCUCUCUUCUUCUUCUAAGUAACGAAGAAAAUACUUGAGUUAUUAAACUAAGAGCGUUCAUCUCUAUUUUCUAUACUGAGUAUGCUCUACACUUGCCUUGCUUUAAGGAUCCUGGUAUCAGAAAAGUCCUGAUUUAUUUAUAAAACCGAUUUAAAAUAAAACUAUUUUCUCACAACGUUCACCCUCUUUGAAGGUCAGAGGUGACCUAUUUUCGGUGGUAUCGUGAUCAAUGGUUUUUGCUUUUUUAGGUUUUAUAUCUCAGGGACUAUAGGUAUAUCGGUUGGAAACCAGAACUUGCGGACUACUGGUCCAAAGGAUAGUCUAGCACUAUCAUAGUUCAGGUGUAACAACGCCACGUACCUGUAUACACCCAGUGGUAUCAGAGCCAAACGAAAAUUUUCAGAGGUGGUAUCAUGGUUUAGUUCUCAAGUUUAGCUGCUUGACAGCUUCUGUCUGAGCAGGGCCCCAUGGGGGGCACUGUUUUUUUAGCAUGCGCGACAGCUGGCUGGUGUGAAUCGCAACUUUUGGGAUAAAAUCACGGACAUAAUUAACAAUCCGAGGAAUUGUUGUAUUUGCUUUCUGUUGAGAUGUGUGUCUGGAAACUUUAAUAAUUCGAUUGCAAUAUGUGGACCUGGCUGAUACUGGCCGUCUUUAAUCACCAUGCCAAGAAAGUCAAUUGAUUCCUUUCCUACGCUGCUUUUCUUUUCGGAAAGCAUGAUGCCAUGUGCCUGCACAAUGUGAAAGAAAUCUAAAAGGAGCUUCUGGUGGCUCUCAUGGUCAGAGGAAAACAACAAAAUAUCAUCAAUGUAGACCAAUGCAUGAUGAAGAAUAGGACUAAAGAUUUUUGUCAUGGCUUUUUGAAAUAAGGAGGGAGCGACUUUAAGACCAAAAGGCAUAACAGUCCAUUGGUAAUGGGCAUCAGGGAUGCAGAAGCAAUUUUGUGACGGUCAACUGGUGAAAUACCAAGUUGCCAAAAACCAGCUUUCAAAUCGAACUUAGAGAAGAUACGAGCCCCUUGAAGAUGGACAAACAGGGUCUGGAUUUUUGGAAGGGGAAACUUAUCAUCUUUAAGAAAGGAAUUAAGUGGCUGGUAAUCAAUAACUAAUCUCUUUUUUCCACAACUAAUUCAGAUCGUUUUUCAACAUAAAAGGCUUGACAAGCCCAAUCUGAAUCAGUAGACUCAAUAAGACCUUGUUGGAGUAACUGAGAACAUUCUUGCUUGGCAAGCAGGAGGUCUGAAGGAGACAUACCCGGGUGUGAUGCUUUUGUGGGUUUAUGUCUUCAUUGAGUUUGAAGGGAAGGUGAAUGAAGAAUUGUUCAUUUUUUCAAAGAGGAGAAGGAUGGUGGAACUGUGAAUGGUUUUCUGGACAGAACUCUAAGAGCUUUUGUGAGAUAUAACUGUAUGGAGAUGGUGUUUCUGAAAGGGCAUACAGACGGAGAGUAUCUGUAUAGGGUAAGAACAUUUGUUUGUAGCGAACUCCAGAACUGGUGAGGAAGAGGUUUUUAACCAAAUGAAGAAUGUCAAAACCUAUGAGUAAAUCUUUAUCUGGAAGUUUGGAGGCUACAAGCUUUUUCCAAAUUAUACAAUUCGGAAAGAAUUGAAUACCAACGGGUUUCUUGGUAAUCAAAGUUGUUUCAAAAGUUUCACCAUUAACUGCUCUGAAAAGUUUGGAAUGGUGUUCCCAACAGUCUGAUGGCAGAACAGAAGGAUCAAUCAUACUGGUGUCUGCACCAGUGUCAAUAAACCCGAUAACAGGAACAGGUUUAUGGAAUUUAGAAGAAGGAUGGACAUCUUGAGAGAAGGUCUAGGAAUGGUGGAAAAUGGUUGACAGUUUGAACUGUAGAGAUGAUGGAAAUAUCUUCAGAAUCAGAGGAUUCUGCUAUAAGGAAAGCAGUUUGGUCAUCUUGAGCUGACUGUUCUAAAAAAUUUAAUUCGACAUCCUCAUUCUCAGAUAACAGAGAAGAAUUGAAGAUGUUGGAUAAGACGAAUAGCUUUGGCAGAUUUAUGGGGACAAUUUCGGGCAAAGUGACCGCGUUUCUUGCAGACGAAACAACGAUUGGAUUUUUUCUUUCGGUACUGAGAAACAUCUUUCUUUUUGAAAUACCGAAAAGGUUUUUUGGAGGAGGACUUUCGAUGGAAGUGUUUCCGGAAAUGUCGUUUCUUUUGGGUUGGACAAACACAUUUCUUUUCAUCCUUACACUCGAUUUUGAGAUAAGGUUUUUUACAAGCUUCAGAGAAGGGUUUCUUGUCUUCCAUAAGAUCUUUGAAGAAUUCUUUUUGUUCACAGAUUUUAUCAAGAGAUAGCAUGGCCAUUUGGAAAAUUUUUCCCAGAGAGAUAUCAGCUAUGCUCAGAUUAGUGGCUGUGAGUUUUCUUUGUAGAUUAGGUUGUAACUCAGAAGGAAGAGAGGCUAUGAAGACAUGUUUAAGAGAUGGCUCAUUGAACCCAUUUAGCUUGUAGAAUAAAACACUCAUUCUUUUGUAAUGAGCAUCCAGAAGGUGUCUUUUGAGAGAACAACAUUUCAUCUGAUGGUAUUCUUUUCUAUCUGCUUCAGUGGAAGCAGUUUUUUCACCGAUGAAUUGCUCAUGAAUAAUAUUGAGUGCUGUACCAAUCGGAGAUUCCAUGAAUUGGAGCUGUCUGUAUUCUCCUAAGCUUUCUAGCCAAUCUCGUAAAGAACCCGUGGAGCGGGCCAUGAAUUCACGAAGAACGGCUUGAGGUUGAGCAUUAGGCUUGGUACCUUGAGAUCAAUCCAAGCAGCAAAUUCUUGAAGUCUAGCCGCCCAUUUGUGACGGGGAAUGUCAUCAAAUGUAAACCAAGAUGCUGAAGAUGGUUUUGUUGAGUGUUCAUGAACUGGUGGGGGCAUAGGGUCUGUUUGGGAUGCUUGAUCAGAAGGAUGAUCUUCAACAAUAGGUGUUGAAGUAGAAGCACUUGGAUCUGCAGUUUCAGUGGCCAUUAAUAUGCCUGUAAUGUCAGCAUAUUCGGACUCAGAGUCAGUUGAGGUUUCGUCUGUGUUUUCGGAUGAGUUUGAAGAAGACGGGUUGGAUUCAUCGACUGUUUCUGGCUCAGAGGAGUCAGAAGAUUGGUGCUGGACAGUAUGAUAAUGAUACUGAUCCAUCGGGUCUUUGUCUUUCUUAAGAGGCUCUGGAAUGUCCUGUGGCAAAUCUGCGGGAGGUAUGGUGGAGGUAGAGGAAGAUGAAGGGACAGUUGGCUUUGGUUCUGAAAUCUUGACUUUGGAUUUUGAUUUUCUGGGUAAAGAUGGUUAAGGAGUCGUUGAAGGUGCGAGAACCCAAAGAACUGAUUAUAAACAGGUUGUUGAGGUCGGGAUGGUGUGUAGAAAGGUGCAUAAGUUUCAAAGAACGGAGGAGAUACGGGUGUAGGUUGUGGUUGAGUAAAAAGGAAGGUCGAGUCUUUUCAGCAUCAAUUCUUGACAAUUCGGCUUUGAGUUUUCUGAUCUCAGCUUCUUUUUUAUUAAACUCUGGACCCCAAAUGUGGUUGUUGAUCAUUCGUCGAAGAUCGUGUCGAGUUCGGAGAUCCGAUCUUGGAGAUGUAUAUACAUCUGAUCAAGACGACUGCUGAUUGAAUCAACUUUAGUCUCAGUCUGAGAGACUUGACUGGCAACACGAUCAAUUUUCUUACCGAGUUGCUGAAGAGUUUGAUUCUGAGCACUGGCGUUUUUGGUUUGCCAGUUUAAAACAGCUUCAUACUGUUUUGGCUCCUCAGGUUGCCCAGAGGCUAUAACUGGAGAUUGAACAAAAAUUUGGAUGUAACUUGGGUUUGUGUCUCUGUCUUUUUUAAAGUGGAGGAAAAGAUUCCUCAUAGGAGUGGCUUGAAAACAUAAGGCAAGAUCUGAUUGGAUGGACAGGAGGUUUGGGAUCUGGUGGAGGAUGUGGAGGAUGUGGAGGAAAAGGUUUGCAAGAAGAUGGUGGAUAAGAAGAUUUUUUCUUCUUCUUUUUCUUUCUCCGCAUAACUUCCAAUUCCUCUUCAAUAUCCGUAUCAUCCAAGCAAGGACAAUCCGGAUUGCACAUAUGGGCUUCAGGAACAUCCCAUAUGAAAUGACCAUUGAUUUUAUCUGGAUAUACUGGAUACCCUUCGGAGGAAAAACCAUGAAUAAGAAGUUUCUUUUCUUGACCAGUUUGGACUGCUGUGAUCAUCGCAGUAUAGGAAAGCUGGGGACUGUCUGAAACAGGCUUGGUGUCAGGAGUUUGAAAAGACAGUUUGACUUGACCAUUUGGUCGUCUGUCAAAUGUGGCUUCUGUGGUUUGUAUUGGUUCAGAAUUUUGGUGAAAGUGCUCAUAGUUGGUUAGCCAUUCAAGAGGCAUGAGCUUGAGCAAUUCUUGUUUCUGGAUUUGUUUGGGGAUUUGAAUGAUGGUUGGAAUUGUGUCUGUGUCCGCCAAUAUCAUCAAGGUAUCAGAAGUUGUGUAUGGUGUGGGAAGAUCUAGUGCAUGAUUUUGUAAUCGAUACACUAUUUGAUUAUGGAGGGUUGCAAUCUUUGAUGUGGGAGUUUGUUCUGCUCCUUCGAGCUGGAUCUGGACCUUAAGAGUUGUUGGAAGAUUAGGGUCUUCAAGAGAGAGGUUGAAAUUUGGGUAAAAGGUUAAUAAGACACUGCCAGCAUGGAGAGUUGUCAGAACGGUGCCGAUAACAGCGUGUUGGUACUCCUUGAACUUGGUGUCUAGGAGAGCAAUUCUACCUGUAACAGGUAAGCCUUUUCGACCAUGGAGAGUGAGAAUUAAUCGUAUACCACCAAGAUGGAGGUGUGUGUACCCUUCUCGUUUCCAGGUGGCGACAAGAUCUGAGGGUAUUUCCAUAGUGACAUAUUGUUCACUCUGUGAGGCUUGGAGAGCACACUGAUCCAGCCUAGAAGACUGGAUAUACUCUUUUGGGAGUGGUCUUUUAGUGGAGAUGAGGGUUCAGAUACUCUAGUGAGAGAAGUCUUCUAUUUGUAGAGAUUGUAAGGACUCAUGAUAGGAAACUAGGACUCAUUUAUUUGAGCAGAUUCUAGAAUAUAAGAAUAUUCAACAAGAUUCUCAAUUUGGAGGUUAUGUGUUUAGAGCAUGAUUUAGGAAGAGAGAGAGUAGAAGAAAGAGAAAUAUGAGAUGAAGAUGAUGUAGAGGUUGAAGAUGUGUUUGUUUCCAUGAUUGAGGAAUCUUCUUCUAGGAGAUCAAAUAAGAUUAUUCAAAUUACUAAUGAUACCACCUCGGCAAAAAGUGUGGCUCUGAUAAGGACUUUUAACAAAAGUAAAGCACGCCGACAAGGACUUAACAAAAGUAAAGCACACUGACAAGGACUUUAACAAAAGUAAAGCACACCGACAAAGACUUUAACAAAAGACAAAUGGGAGUCACAUGGAUAGGUGUAUCAAAAGCAUGUUCAUAAGUCGUUAUCAUGGAGUGGAUGGAUAAUGAGAUGGUGACACGUCUCUUGUGGCUUUUUCAUAUUGUCGUUUGUGCCGACGGAUUUGUCAUUGGUCGAGGUAUGCCUCAGCUUGUUGGUAUUUGUCUUCAUCAGCUUCAGUCAUGGGCUGAGAUGUAGAUGCAGUAGGAGAGUAUGGAGUGGUGACAGUAUAAUGGGGAUUUUCAGUAUGGAGAAGGGACUGAAAGUCUUCCCAUGGGUCCUGAGCAUCUUGGAAUAAGACAUUGGUGUAGUCAGGACGUUGUUCUAAGACAAGGAUUCCCUGAGGACUUGAACUUGAACCCGGAGUACAGCCUUGUGUUUUGGGAAUAACUUCAAGGGUGUGUGUGAUGGUCCAAUAGAGGUGUGGUGAAUGUUUAUGGCUGGUGGAGGAACAUUGUUAAGUUCCAUGAGAUAGGCUUUGAGAAUAGAGGAAAUCGAUGUAUCAUGGAUGAGGGUAAGUUCUCCAUUCAUAUGCAUGUCCUGUGUCCAGUAGUCCCGUGUUUCUGGAUGCUGGAAAUAAGGCCAUUCAAAAGAGAGUCCCAUAGUAGGUCUGGGGAGAAUUCCGGAGUGGUCAGGUGAGUUAGGACUGGUUUGAUGAAAAACUAGCUUUAUAGCAUACAAGGCAGUGAGACACCACAUGUACCAAAGUUCAUCUUCGCAGAUGGACAGAGAGGAGAGAGUGAGGCCUGUGAGAAACAGGUGUUCCAUGCAAAGAUUAGGAAAACGGUCGGGUUUUUUGGUUUGAACAUUAAAGAAGAACCUCUAAAGGAAUUUCUUUGCAAAAUGCUGUAGCUGGUAAGCCGAUUGGAAAGAGAUGUUAAUGGGAAAGUUUUUCUAGGUGAGAGCUUUGAAAGGAAGUUGGCGAUUCAUAGCUAUGACUGGAAUGGUUUGGAUUGAGGAAAUGACUGAGGGUUUAUUUAUAGCUGGACGUGUGAGGAAGUCUGGAAUGAGGUUUUGGUUGCCUUUUAUGUGUUGAACAGUGAAAUCAUAUUUAACAAACCAGGUUUUGAGGCUAAGUAAUUGCUUGUCAGGGAGCAAUUUCUUCUUGAAGUAAAAAAUGAGGGGAAAAGAAGAAUUAUCCAUGUUGAUAAGGAAUUUGUGGCUGAUGAGAUGGAAUUCAAAUUUUUUAAUUCCAUACUUAACUGCCAAGAUUUCUUUGUAGAUCACAUGGUAGUUCUUUUCAGAGUCUUUGAAUUGUCCGCUUGCAUGUGCACAGAAAUGACGCACGCCAUUGAUGUCUUCAAGGAGAUGGCACUCCAAUAAUCAUCGUUGGCAUCAGUCUGGAGGAUGCGUUGUCCACUUGUGGGAAUUCGGAGUGGAUGAGGUGAUUGUGCUAUCCAAAAUGGCAUCUUCCUCUUCUUCAUCAGACAUAGCUUCAUCAAAAUCCUCUCCAAUUUCUCUCUCUUCUACUCUUUCUUUACCUCGUUCUUGUCAGAAACAUGUAGCUUCAAAAAUAGAAAAUCUUGUUGAAUACUCGUAUAUCCCUGAAUCUGCUCAGAUUAAUGAAUCUCAGUUCCCUGUUAUGAGUCCUUAUCAUCUGUACAAACAAAAAACUUCUUUCACUAGAAGUAUUCAAACCCUGAUCUCCACAAAAAGACCUCUUCCUAAAGAGUACAUCCAGUCUUCCAGACUUGAUCAGUGUGCUCUACAAGCCUCCCAAAGUGAACAAUAUGUCACUAUGGAUAUACCAACAGAUCUCGUAACCAACUGGAAAUGAGAAGGGUAUACACACCUCCAUUUAGGUGGUGUCCGGCUUAUCCUCACCUUACAUGGCAAAAAAAGGCUUACCUGUCACAGCCAGAAUUGCCCUCCUUGACACAAGGUUCAAACAGUAUCAACAUGCUGUUAUUGGCACUGUUUUAACCACUCCAUGCUGGAAGUGUCUUGUUAACCUUCUACCUAAAUUUCAACAUGUCCCUAGCAGAUCCCAACCUUCCAACAACACUGAAAGUCCAAAUCCAACUCCAGGGAGCAGAACAAAUAUCCACUUCCAAAAUAGCCACUCUCCAUCACCAAAUAGUGUAUCGAUUGCAAAAUCAUGCGCUAGAUCUCCAAACUGCAAACAACCAGUGAUGCACUGAUGAUUCUUGCAGGCACAAUACAAUUCCAACCAUCAUCCAGAUCCCCAAACAAAUUCAAAAGCAAGAGUUACUUCAACUCAUGCCUUUGGAAUGGCUUACUAAUUAUGAGCAAUUCCAUCAGAAUUCAGAACCUGUCCAGACGUCCCAAGCCAUCUUUGAAAGAAGAUCAGACGGACAAGUCAAGAUGUCUUUUCAGACUCCUGACAAACCAAGCCCAGAUCCUCCAUGGCUCUCUUAUACUGCUAUGAUCACUGCAGUCUCUACUGGACAAGAGCCAAAUCUUUCGAUCUAUGGAUUUUCCUCAGAAGGGUAUCCAGUAUACCCUGACAAAGUCAACGGUCAUUUCCUAUGGGAUGUUCCAGAAGCCCAUAUGUGUAAUCCAGAUUGUCCCUGCUUGGAUGACACAGAUGAUGAUGAAGACUUUGAAAUCAUGAGACGAAGGCGAAGGAGAAAGAAAAAGCCUUCUACUCCUAAAACCACCGGAUGAUCCAGAAUCAGAUCAACCUUUACCCAUUUACAAGAAAGCACUCAGGCAACUCCACCAAGAAUCCUCAUUUAAGCCUGUUCCUGCUCAACCAAAAAUCAAGUCAUGCUUGAUGUUCUCAUCUUCUAGCCAAUCAUACCAAGAAUCCUUUCCUCCACUCGAAAGGCACACAGACCCUCAAACCAAAGUUGUUUCUCAACCCUAUGUCCAAUCACCAAUCACAACCUCUGGAGCACCAGAAGCACCAAAACAGUAUGAGGCAGUGCUAAACUGGCAAACCCAAAAUGCCAGUGCUUACAAUUAAGCUCUCCACCAUCUUGGUAAAAAGAUUGACAAAGUGGCAUCACAGGUGUCACAAACAGAAAUAAAGGUGGACACAAUCACUUCUCGGCUUGAACAGAUUUAUUCAAAUUUGCAGAACAGAAUCUCUGAAUUAGAUAUCGAUCUCAGAAUGAUGAUCAACAAUCGUAUUUGGGGUCCCGAAUUCAAUAAGAAAGAAGCAGAGAUCAGACAGCUGAAGACAGAAUUGGCCAGAAUUGAUGCUGACAAACACAACCUUCCCUUUUUCACCAAAACACAGUCUAUACCUAUCCUAUCACCAUUAUUCACAUCAUACCAGCCUUUUUACACUCCUUCUAAACAAUCAACUUACGAUCAGUUCUUUGGUCUCUCCCAUCUCCAUAAUAUUCCUUCCGUUCCACCACAAAAAACUACUUCACCAAAAAGAUCCAAAUCAAAAGUCAAAAAUCUCAAAACCUCCACCCAAGGAAGAUCUUCAAGUUCCAGAAGACUCUCCUAAAGCAACUCCUGAACUUCCAAAAAGACAAAGCUCCAACUUACCAAUACCAUUAUCAACAUUGAUACUCAAAACAAUGAUUCCGAUUCGACCUCAGAAGAAAGUUUACCCUCCUCAGAUAAUUUCAGCUCAUCUGAACAAACUUCUUCAGACUCAGAGUCUCAAUAUGCAGAUAUUUCUAGUCUUUUCAUGGCCACAAAAACAGAAGAUCCUAGUACAUCCACUCAUGUUGUUGACACUCCUAUUGCCGAAGAAUCUUCUGAAGAUAAUGAUGAUGUCCAAGGCUCACAAACAGAAUCGGCUCCCUCUGUCCCUCCGGUUUCUGAAAAAUCUUCCAAACCAUCUUCUUCCCCAUGGUUUACAUUUGAUGACAUCCCUCGUCACAAAUGGCAAGCUCGACAUCAAGAAUUUGCUGCAUGGAUUGAUGUGCAAAUGACCAGUCCUAAUGCACAAUCUCAGACAGUUCUCCGUGAGUUUUGUUCCAGAUUCACUGGAUCUCUACGAGAUUGGUUUGAAAGUCUAGGCGAAUACAGACAACUCCAAUUGAUUCAAACCACCAUUCCUAUAGCUCUUGCAGUCAUUUAUGUGCAAUUUAUUAGAGAACCAGCAGCAUCAACUGAAGCAUCUCGAAAAGAAUAUCACCAGAUGAAAUGUUGUUCUCUUAAACGACAUCACCUGGAAAUGCAUCACAAAAGGAUGAGCAUGCUUUAUUACAAACUAAAUGGAUUCAAUGAUGAUCAUGCAUGUCUUUGCUGCAUCUUUACCACCAGAGCUUCAGCCAAAGCUUCAAAGACAGUUGACAGCCUUUAACCUUCUU